GCCAAGCACACUCGGGACAUUCAUUCAAGCAGUUACCUUCUUCUAAACACGACCAAAGCUGCUCCGUGAGCGGCUGUCAGCGGCGGGACCGAACCGACCGCCUUGAUCGGUUGUGGCGACGCAUCACAAGUGAUUAUCGUCGGCCGUUGGAAUCCCAGACAAACAUCAUGCGAAGCGCGAGGGAACAAAGGACAGAAACGUCGCUAUCUCUGCAUGUAUCACACACAGACACACAGUUUCUGUGUGUAACGUCGAUGCCAGAGAACACGGGGUGAUGUCCGCCGCUCCGAGCGCACUGCGGAUGCCGCGGUGACACACACACACCUUCCCCACUCACCUCGCACAGCAGACCUUCGCCGCAGCGGAUUGCCGCCUCAUUGAUGGCUGUCAGUUCCGAGCGCCACUCGAGCGCGGGGAAGGUCCUUUCGCGUCCACGUCUGAGUGGUGGCGGUCGCGUAGUCAUGACAACGUGUUCUAAAAAUACUUCAACCUGCUUUUGGAACAGUUGGUUUCACACGUCCCAAAGUAUGUACGACUGCCCGUCCCUGACUUUGGGGUCAAGUAUCCUCCGACCGAGAACCGGGUCCUUGGUGUGAGAGGGGCCUCUGUAUUUAGAAUGAGAAUUGUUCAAAUAAUUGGACCAAGAAUAAAAUUCUGAUCAAAACCAGAUUUUCCCAUGAUUGUUCCUUCAAACCCAAAUAAUUUUUACUUUUUCCAAAAAUACUAGUUUCAAUAGUUAUUGAUGGAAAAUGAGAAGGACAUGUAAGACCCGGCACACCAACAGAGGUGUUGCCAGAUGCGCGGGCUGGACUUCAGCGCAGCCCUAUUGGGAAUUGAUAUUUUUCGUGGCCGACAUUUUGACUUUGGCAGUAGGAACACAGCAGUACGCACGAACAUCAACGACUCAAUUAAAGUGCCGCAGCUAGCGUGCACAGAAGCAAAGCCCCACUAGAGCUGCGUUUAAAUUGAAUGCGUGCAUGCACGUCAACCAGAGAAAACCCAUUUGUGAUGUCACUCAGCUAUUCAGUUUGUUCUGAGAUCAUAGAUACCAAAGACUUGAUUGUAAAAUAAAAUAAAAUAUUAAGCUGUCGAGCACAUGGGAUUACUGUCCGCUAAGUAGACAAAUUUAGCUUUAAAUUUCUUCAGAUUUUCCUUCGGCAAGCCCUGAAAACACUUUCACAUUUAAGGCUCCAUCUUUCUGGUAAAUGUUUUCACAGGGAAAAAGCACCAGGCUCAAAAAUGUCUAUCCCUUGAUUUGAUGCAACGGCACAAGCCAGCGGGUCGUGUCAGAUUAUAGCCUCUUCAGUAGCACAGAAAAUGAGUAAAAGUGAGAAAAAGUGUGAUUUUCCAUCAGUCUGCGGACACACACACACACACACACACACACACACGCUGCGCCGAAGCCGCCCUGCUCGGGCCGGCCUGGGCGAACAAGCGGAGCGUGUCUCAGGAGAGACAGAGGGGCCUCAGAGGCAGCCCGGAAAAUCUGAGCCUGACCUCUCUGGAGAGGGAGCAAGAGAGGCAAACUGGAUUUUUAGAUAUUUCUCUCUCUCUCUCUCUCUUUUUUUUAAUCCCUGCCUUACACGCCUCACUGGUCCUCCUGCGGUACGACGUGGGGGCAUAAUGUAAAGUCAGGGGGAAAAAAAAAACACAAAAACAACAACAACAGGGGCUUGCGUGUCAGGAGAGAACAUCCACGUCUGCUCCUAUUCACCGUGACACGAGUGAAAACGGGACACAGUAUCCCACUGGCUUUUGACCCACAGUUGUAUGUAGGACAGCAUCUUAUUCAGAGCCAAAUGCCAUUUUGUUCCUCGCCCCUCUCUGUUCGAGAGGGAGUCUAUCGUCCCCCCCUCGCCACCCGUGACGCAUCUGCUCGACGUCAAUUUCGAAUCUGCGUUUCUCCGUUGGUGGAAAGAAGUCGC
ensembl:lncRNA